AUGUUUGUUGUUGGACUAGCACCUAGGUGCAAGAGGAAACAAACAUCAGGGAUAAUGCUCGAUAGGUUAACUAAAUCUAGAGGAGGAAGAAUGGAGAUCCGUUUUGAGGCAGGUUUAAAAAGGCCACGUGAUGCUACAGAGUCAGCCAAGUUAGUAUCAGAGGCAGCGGUUGCUGUUAGGUGUCAUGUACGUAUCCUCCCAACAUGGAUUCAGUACAGGAAUGACAAAGACGAAACCCAUUUCAACAUCUUCCUCGACCAUUUAUCUUUGGAUAGCCAAGAUGAUGCAACCAGACAAGCUUGCACCCAUGUUUUCAAGUCUGCGCUGCGACAGUAUCGGUAUAACUUGAGGAAAACUCACUUUGAAGGCAAGGCUAACAGUGAACUUGCCCAAACAUCUCCAGUGGAAAAUAUAUUUGAUGAAGACUGGAGAGGCCUUGUUAAACACUGGUCCGAUCCAAAGUAUCAGGUGAACUGUUCAAAGAACAAGGCCAACUGUAUGAAAGUGAAAUUCCAACAGACGAUAGGAUCCCGUAGCUAUAAUGCACACUGCGAGGCUCUUAGGAAAGCCCGCAAGGACCAAAAACUACCUGAACCAAAUGCUGUGGAAAUCUUCAACGACUAUCACACCAGCAAGAAGAAGGGCAUGACUACACCAGUCAAAGCCGCUGUUUGA
rnacentral:rRNA from 1 species